UACCAUAAAAUGGGAUACACAGUAGUGUCCACCUUAAUUAACCUGCUGAUUUAUUUUUGUUACAUUAACCUGCUGAUUUACUUCGAAGCAUGAAAUCCCCUUUUUCUUGAAUGAACCAUAAUUUCAGAUGGGUUGCAUGGAAGCCGUAAAUCACAGUUGUGAUUCUGAAUUCAAAUUGCCUUCUCAUGCGUCCCCUCCUCCUUCUCCUCUAUAUAACAGCUCAUUUCGUUUCAUCUAUAUAAGAGCUUCUUGGCUGUUCAAGACUCAAUCAGAUCCUUCCCGUUGUUUUCCAUGGCUGUGAAAGUUAUGGUGUCUCAACCAUUGAUCCUUCCGAAGAGACUCCGAAUGCCCUUCACCCUCCAAGGCGUUGAUCUCUCAGGAACCAUCUUAUUGAAGAGCCUCUACAGGGUCUAUCGUAGGGGGUGGAGAAGGACUGUCAUGUUCAAGGAAAACUUUGCUAAAGAAGAGAUCUAAAGUAGCCAAGGGAGGAAAUGUGUUGAAAGCAAUCAGCAGGAAGUACUUAAGGUAAUUGUUACAGAAUGCUUACCUCAAACCAAAUCCAGUGUGCCUUCAAUUUGGAAAAGCAAGAAGUACUUAAGACUCCAAUCAUGUUGUUUUACUGGCUUGGGUUUGACAGUUUUGGAACAUGGCAGUGGUGUCUGAUAAAAGAUGUUGGCAAAGAGUCUGCUAAACCAUUGGAUGACGGUUUCAAACUACUUAUAGUUGUAGAUUCGAAUACAACAAUUGAGAUAACUCUCAAGCAAGUAUCACUUUAGGGUGAAUCAGCAAUUAAUGUAGCUCUCAAUAAGGAAAACAAUGAAGAAUCUACAAACAAGAUCAAUUAGGAAUUGUAUCUUGAUGUUGUUUAGUUCUGGCAAUUAAAUCAUGGAUUCAUAGUGAAAUUGAAACGCGCCAUACUAGCAAUACUUCUGUCCCUGGUGUGCUUUCUUUCCAGUAGAAGUUCCUUCAAUCCUUCUCUUAUAGGAUGUUUCUUGAGUGAAGUUAUAAGAUAUAGCAGUCUCCAGUGUUUCAAUGAGAUGCUUAAAGAAACAACAACCUUAUCAAUAUCAUAACUGUCUGCUCAAUUGUCUUGCUCUAUCUUUCGUCCAUUUCUCUUAGAGUUACCCAAGUUUGUGAGAUUCUUGCUAUUUUAUUGUUUAAAAUUUGAAGUGCCAACUCAUACUCUUUAUUUGUGUCCAGAAGCCUCAGAUUUAAUGGACCUAAUAAAACUACAUUGUUCAUUCCUUUAUU